rnacentral:rRNA from 1 species
UACCAGCUCCCCGAGUGGUCGGGACGGUUAUUUGGCCUAAAGCAUCCGUAGCCUGUCCUGCAAGUCUUCCGUUAAAUCUAACGGCUCAACCGUUAGGCUGCGGAAGAUACCGCAGGACUAGGGGACGGAAGAGGCGGACGGUACUCCGGGGGUAGGGGUAAAAUCCUCUGAUCCUCGGAAGACCACCAGCGGCGAAGGCGGUCCGCCAGAACGUGCCCGACGGUGAGGGAUGAAAGCUGGGGGAGCGAACCGGAUUAGAUACCCGGGUAGUCCCAGCUGUAAACGAUGCGAGCUAGGUGACAGAAUGGCCUAAGCGCCAUUCUGCUGCCGCAGGGAAGCCGUUAAGCUCGCCGCCUGGGGAGUACGGACGCAAGUCUGAAACUUAAAGGAAUUGGCGGGGGAGCACCACAAGGGGUGAAGCCUGCGGUUCAAUUGGAGUCAACGCCGGAAACCUUACCGGGGGAGACAGCAGAAUGAAGGUCAAGCUGAAGACCUUACCAGACGAGCUGAGAGGAGGUGCAUGGCCGUCGCCAGCUCGUGCCGUGAGGUGUCCUGUUAAGUCAGGCAACGAGCGAGACCCUUGCCAUUAGUUGCUAUUCUUUCCCGCAAGGAAAAGGAAGGUAGUUAGUGGGACUGCCGCCGUUCAAGGCGGAGGAAGGAGAGGGCUACGGCAGGUCAGUAUGCCCCGAAACCUCCGGGCCACACGCGGGCUGCAAUGGUAGGGACAGAGGGCAUCCAACUCCGAAAGGAGAAGGCAAACCCUAAACCCUAUCCCAGUUGUGAUUGAGGGUUGCAACCCACCCUCAUGAAUAUGGAAUCCCUAGUAACCGCGUGUCACUACCGCGCGGUGAAUACGUCCCUGCUCCU